CAUGCACCGGUGGGGUCCCUCGGCCUGGCCUGUGCCCUCUCGCAAUCCGGGACCCCUCAGGGGAUGUCCUACUGCCGGUUUUGGCCAGAUCCCCACAGGCCAGGCUGAGGGACCCCACCAGUGCACA
rnacentral:pre_miRNA from 1 species